rnacentral:rRNA from 1 species
GACGAACGCUGGCGGCGUGCUUAACACAUGCAAGUCGAACGAAGUGGGAACGGGUGAGUAAUACGUGAGUAACCUUCCUCCUUUUCGGGAUAAGCCUUGGAAACGGGGUCUAAACCGAAUAGAUGGGUUCGCGGCCUAUCUGCUUGUUGGUGGGGUGAUGGCCUAACAAGGCGGUGACGGGUAGCCGGCCUGAGAGGGUGACGGGCCAAAUUGGGACUGGGGUACGGCCCAGAAUCCUACGGGAGGGCACAAUGGGGGAUCUUCGGCAAUGGGGGGAAACCUGGCCGGGCAACGCCGCGUGAAGGAAAAAGGGUUUCGGAUCGUAAAGAUCUGUUGUUCAGGAAGCGGUACUUAACCAGAAAGGGACGGCUAACUACGUGCCAGCAGCCGCGGUAAUUC